rnacentral:rRNA from 1 species
UACAGAGGUCUCAAGCGUUGUUCGGAUUCAUUGGGCGUAAAGGGUGCGUAGGCGGCGCGGUAAGUCGGGUGUGAAAUCUCGGAGCUUAACUCCGAAACUGCAUUCGAUACUGCUGUGCUUGAGGACUGGAGAGGAGACUGGAAUUUACGGUGUAGCGGUGAAAUGCGUAGAUAUCGUAAGGAAGACCAGUGGCGAAGGCGGGUCUCUGGACAGUCCCUGACGCUGAGGCACGAAGGCCAGGGGAGCAAACGGG